rnacentral:rRNA from 1 species
AGAGUUUGAUCAUGGCUCAGAUUGAACGCUGGCGGUAUGCCUUACACAUGCAAGUCGAACGGUAGAGGGGCAACCCUUGAGAGUGGCGAACGGGUGAGUAAUACAUCGGAACGUGCCCAGUCGUGGGGGAUAACGUAGCGAAAGCUACGCUAAUACCGCAUACGACCCGAGGGUGAAAGCGGGGGACUCGCAAGAGCCUCGCGCGAUUGGAGCGGCCGAUGGCAGAUUAGGUAGUUGGUGGGGUAAAGGCCCACCAAGCCUGCGAUCUGUAGCUGGUCUGAGAGGACGACCAGCCACACUGGGACUGAGACACGGCCCAGACUCCUACGGGAGGCAGCAGUGGGGAAUUUUGGACAAUGGGCGAAAGCCUGAUCCAGCCAUACCGCGUGCGGGAAGAAGGCCUUCGGGUUGUAAACCGCUUUUGUCAGGGAAGAAAUCCUUUGGGUUAAUACCUCGGAGGGAUGACGGUACCUGAAGAAUAAGCACCGGCUAACUACGUGCCAGCAGCCGCGGUAAUACGUAGGGUGCAAGCGUUAAUCGGAAUACUGGGCGUAAGCGUGCGCAGGCGGUU